UACGGAGGACCCGAGCGUUAUCCGGAUUUAUUGGGUUUAAAGGGUGCGUAGGCGGAUUAGUAAGUUAGAGGUGAAAGCUCGGUGCUCAACAUCGAAAUUGCCUCUGAUACUGUUAGUCUAGAGUAUAGUUGCGGAAGGCGGAAUGUGUGGUGUAGCGGUGAAAUGCUUAGAUAUCACACAGAACACCGAUUGCGAAGGCAGCUUUCCAAGCUAUUACUGACGCUGAUGCACGAAAGCGUGGGGAGCGAACAGG
rnacentral:rRNA from 1 species